GAAUAAUACUCCAUAAUAUUUAUUAGUGGCAUCAUUAAUUUAUUAAAACUACGGUGGUUAGAGAUAGGCAUGCGUCCUAUUAGCUAGUUGGUGAGGUAACAGCUCACCAAGGCGAUGAUAGGUAGGGGGCCUGAGAGGGUUAUCCCCCACACUGGUACUGAGACACGGACCAGACUCCUACGGGAGGCAGCAGUGAGGAAUAUUGGUCAAUGGACGAGAGUCUGAACCAGCCAUGCCGCGUGCAGGAAGAAUGCCUUUGGGUUGUAAACUGCUUUUAUAUAGGAAUAAACCCUCGUUCGUGAACGAGGCUGAAGGUACUAUAAGAAUAAGGACCGGCUAACUCCGUGCCAGCAGCCGCGGUAAUACGGAGGGUCCAAGCGUUAUCCGGAUUUAUUGGGUUUAAAGGGUCCGCAGGCGGGAGAAUAAGUCAGUGGUGAAAUCCUGUCGCUUAACGAUAGAACUGCCAUUGAUACUGUUUUUCUUGAGUAUAGAUGAAGUGGGCGGAAUGUGUCAUGUAGCGGUGAAAUGCAUAGAUAUGACACAGAACACCGAUUGCGAAGGCAGCUCACUAAGCCACAACUGACGCUGAGGGACGAAAGCGUGGGUAGCGAACAGGAUUAGAUACCCUGGUAGUCCACGCCGUAAAC
rnacentral:rRNA from 1 species